UAGGGAGCGAGCGUUAUCCGGAUUCAUUGGGCGUAAAGCGCGCGUAGGCGGCUCGUUAAGCGGGACCUAUAAUCCCGGGGCUCAACCCCGGGCCGGGUUCCGAACUGACGGGCUCGAGUUCGGUAGGGGCGAGUGGAAUUCCCGGUGUAGCGGUGGAAUGCGCAGAUAUCGGGAAGAACACCGAUGGCGAAGGCAGCUCGCUGGGCCGAAACUGACGCUGAGGCGCGAAAGCUAGGGGAGCGAA
rnacentral:rRNA from 1 species